CCUACGGGAGGCAGCAGUGAGGAAUAUUGGUCAAUGGACGCAAGUCUGAACCAGCCAUGCCGCGUGCAGGAAGACGGCUCUAUGAGUUGUAAACUGCUUUUGUACAAGGGUAAACCCAGAUACGCGUAUUUAGCUGAAAGUAUCGUACGAAUAAGGAUCGGCUAACUCCGUGCCAGCAGCCGCGGUAAUACGGAGGAUCCAAGCGUUAUCCGGAUUUAUUGGGUUUAAAGGGUGCGUAGGCGGUCUGAUAAGUUAGAGGUGAAAUGUCGGAGCUUAACUUCGGAAUUGCCUCUAAUACUGUUCGGCUAGAGAGUAGAUGCGGUAGGCGGAAUGUAUGGUGUAGCGGUGAAAUGCUUAGAGAUCAUACAGAACACCGAUUGCGAAGGCAGCUUACCAAGCUACUACUGACGUUGAGGCACGAAAGCGUGGGUAGCAAACAGGAUUAGAUACCCUUGUAGUC
rnacentral:rRNA from 1 species